UACGUAGGGGCAAGCGUUGUCCGGAUUUAUUGGGCGUAAAGAGCGUGUAGGCGGUUUGGUAGGUCCGCUGUGAAAACUCGAGGCUCAACCUCGAGACGCCGGUUGAAACCAUCAUGGCUAGAGUCCGGAAGAGGAGAGUGGAAUUCCUGGUGUAGCGGUGAAAUGCGCAGAUAUCAGGAAGAACACCCGUGGCUAAGGCGGCUCUCUAGUACGGUACUGACGCUGAGACGCGAAAGCGUGGGGAGCGAACAGG
rnacentral:rRNA from 1 species